AUUGAACGCUGGCGGCAGGCCUAACACAUGCAAGUCGAGCGGAGCGGAGGACGGGUGAGUAAUGGCUAGGACUCUGCCUGGUAGUGGGGGAUAACGUCCGGAAAUGGGCGCUAAUACCGCAUACUAUCAGAUGAGCCUAGGUCGUAUUCGCUAGUGGGGGGGGUAAGGGCCGACCAGGGAGACGAUCCGUAACUGGUCUGAGAGGAUGAUCAGUCACACUGGAACUGAGACACGGUCCAGACUCCUACGGGAGGCAGCAGUGGGGAAUAUUGGACAAUGGGCGAAAGCCUGAUCCAGCCAUGCCGCGUGUGUGAAGAAGGUCUUCGGGUUGUAAAGCACUUUAAGUUGGGAGGCGUUACCAACAGAAUAAGCACCGGCUAACUUCGUGCCAGCAGCCGCGGUAAUUC
rnacentral:rRNA from 1 species